AUGCAGGGUCCUUCUCAGAGAUGGGGCUACAUUCGAAUCAUGUCUGGUACAAUCUUCGGAGGCAUCCUCGGAUUCUACGUUAUGCAUCGUCUUGAGAUUACUUACAAGGAGAAAAUGAAUGAAAGGCUCAGAAAUUAUGAGGCUGAAUUGAAAAGGAAGAGAGAAGAGAAACUUAAUGAGUUUGAGAUUCAGGAAUCGUCUAAGUUUUGA